UACAGAGGGUGCAAGCGUUGUUCGGAAUUAUUGGGCGUAAAGCGCGUGUAGGCGGCUUUGCAAGUCGGGUGUGAAAGCCCUCAGCUUAACCCAGGAACUGCGUCCGAUACUGGAAGGCUUGAAUCCGGGAGAGGGAUGCGGAAUUCCAGGUGUAGCGGUGAAAUGCGUAGAUAUCUGGAGGAACACCGGUGGCGAAGGCGGCAUCCUGGACCGGUAUUGACGCUGAGGCGCGAAAGCCAGGGGAGCAAACGGG
rnacentral:rRNA from 1 species